ACAUACUGAAAAUGACCCCAGUUGUGUAUGUGGUCUGGGGUCAGAUAUCUGUGCCUAAAGUACUGUGGUGCAUUAAACUUAUCAUGUUUCUCAUGCUGACAAUGUGAUAAAACCCAUGCACCAACAUAU